ACAGAAAUGCGCAUCAAAUUGAAAGAUGAUCAUUUUGAUAUUAUGGUGCUUGGAUUCAGACCUGGGAGUGUGAUUGUUGAUUUUAUUUCUGUACUGCAAAAACAAGAGCCUGUUGAUGUAGAUAUUGUGCAGGAAUAUCUAAGCCAAAUAUUAAAAAGCAAGUUUGGUGAUCAAACUGAAGUAACAGUACAAUCUCUGUCUACUGAGUCAUCAACUGCAAGAAGUUCUUCCUGGAAAGUGGCAGUGAUUGUCCUUGGAGUUUUAUUUGGAGUUGCAUUAGUGCUACUUUUUCUGCUAAUAUUGGUUUAUAUUUGGAAGAAGAAAAGAUCAGGUAAAUACCUGGUUGAACCUACAGGACUUCAGGGAAAUUUUGUCUGCAAGCACUUGUAAUGUAAGCCAUCAUUUUGACUUACGUAUGUUGGGUACAGGGGAAAAUUAAUAUAUUUGCCUUAAAAUCCUUUUGUCUUUGUUAAUCAUUUAUGUUAACCUAAGAGAACCUGACCUUCUCCUUCCCACUGUCUUUUGCUGAGCUCAUGAAUUAUUUUCUAAUGAAAUAUCCUUUGGCAUUACUCUUGGGUGAGGAAUUGGGAAUUUUCCUCAUAGUAGAUGGGGAAGACUGAGGCACUGAGAAACUCCUGUUCAGACUACCAACUGUAGACAUUGCAAUGACUCCUAGCCACUGACCAUAAAGAGAGACAGAAUUCUAACUGCUUAGUACUCUCUUACGUUUAGAUGACACAGCAAACUGAUCUUCGUACUAUAGGUCCUGUUAUAGGCAGGACACUUGACUACAAAUCUGAGCCCAGAGUUGAGCUUUAUGCCAAGGGUGAUUCACCUAACGUGAGAUUUUUAUCACCAUAUGAAGAUGUCUUUUUCUCUCCAGUAACUGUAAAAUGGGCCCAGGACAGUCCAUCUUUUAGCAUAUGCAACAUGAUUUAGAGCCUGGAGGAAAGUAAGAUAAAUCUGGGCAAUAUGGACUUGCCACAGAUGUCUCUGGUAGAACAGGAAAAUUAUCUGAAGGCUUCUGAAUUCAAGACUUGAUUCCUUAACUCUUGGGCUGUGAAAAAACAAAUGCCUUCAUGUGACAAAUGGAUAGCAUGCUAGAUAGAAAUGUCAUUUAAUAGGAAAUCAGUAGUUGUAUAGCUUGAUACGUUACUAGAGGAUGGGAGAAGGGAUACAAAACUUCAUCUGGACUAAAGUAAUUUGUCAUUUUAAUUUAUGCCUGUCAAAGAAGGCUGGGCAAGAGUGUGUCAUGUAAUGCUGUUUUGUCUUGCUCCUGAUAAUCCCAAAGCAGAGUCUGCUGAAAGCAGCCCAGUGGAUCCCAUGGCUUUGCACAUACCCUGUGUUCUAGGGAAAUGGAAAGAAACAGCCUUUAUUUAUUUUCACCACUCUUAGCUGCAGUCCCAGUGAGGUUACUGUCUGCUUCUCCUGUGGUGUAUUUUUCUCCUUGGAAAGUGCUGAACAAAUAAUAAAAGGCAGUAUAUUUCUGUACA